rnacentral:rRNA from 1 species
UAGUGAUCCGGUGGUUCUGAAUGGAAGGGCCAUCGCUCAACGGAUAAAAGGUACUCCGGGGAUAACAGGCUGAUACCGCCCAAGAGUUCAUAUCGACGGCGGUGUUUGGCACCUCGAUGUCGGCUCAUCACAUCCUGGGGCUGAAGUAGGUCCCAAGGGUAUGGCUGUUCGCCAUUUAAAGUGGUACGCGAGCUGGGUUUAGAACGUCGUGAGACAGUUCGGUCCCUAUCUGCCGUGGGCGCUGGAGAACUGAGGGGGGCUGCUCCUAGUACGAGAGGACCGGAGUGGACGCAUCACUGGUGUUCGGGUUGUCAUGCCAAUGGCACUGCCCGGUAGCUAAAUGCGGAAGAGAUAAGUGCUGAAAGCAUCUAAGCACGAAACUUGCC